rnacentral:lncRNA from 1 species
CCCUAGAAACAUCCAAAUAUAAAUCAUUACUCAAUCAAUUAAUCAACACCAUCUCAGUCCCAACCCACUUGGGAUCUUAGAUAUAAACAUUCUACAUCUGUUUCACUCUAUUUGGGCAGAUUUCACUAAUUCUUAAAAUAACUAACUUAAGUUGACAGAUAAGCAGAAAUAUUAAGCUAGUUUACUGGGGAUUUUGUAACUCCAAUACCAAAACACAUCCAAAUCAUCAAACAUCAAUUGAUCGCUCAAGUAACCAAAUAAGUCUCAGCCCAAAUUAGUUGAAGCAAAGUAUGUCAAUAAUCCUAUAUUCCAUUCCACAUUAUACAGGCCUGUUUCACUAAAUCAUAAUUUAACUGAAAGAAACCCAUGAAUGAGCAAAUAGAUUUCCUAGCCUUACUUCAAAAUAUUCCAGAAUUGAAAUAUCCAAUCCUUAAAAUAUCACAAACAACUAAACCUCAACCCAAACUAACUCAGUUCGACCAUAUAAAUCCUCUAUAUCUGUUCCUCUUAAUUUGGACAUGUAUCACUACCAAAAACUCAAUGAAUGCAAAACAGCUCGCAAAGGGCCAAUCAUAAAUAAUCAAUGAUUUAUUAUAUAAGCAGCACUGCAAUCAAACUAAUUGAGCUUAACCAUAUAAAUCCUAUGUAU